GGAAGGGUGGCUCAGUGGUAGAGCAUCACCGUUGGGGGCGGUGGAUAUUGGCUUCGCGUGGUUCGACUCCCGCCCCUUCCG
rnacentral:tRNA from 1 species